rnacentral:snRNA from 1 species
GUGCUCACGUCAGCAACACAUAUACUAAAAUUGGAACAAUACAGAGAAGAUUAGCAUGACUCCUGCUCAAGGAUGACACGCAGAUUCGUGAAACAUUCCAUAUUUUU